rnacentral:rRNA from 1 species
UACGUAGGGGGCAAGCGUUAUCCGGAUUUACUGGGUGUAAAGGGAGCGUAGACGGCACUGCGAGUCUGGAGUGAAAGCCCGAGGCCCAACCACGGGACUGCUCUGGAAACUGCGGGGCUGGAGUGCAGGAGGGGUAAGCGGAAUUCCUAGUGUAGCGGUGAAAUGCGUAGAUAUUAGGAGGAACACCGGUGGCGAAGGCGGCUUACUGGACUGUAACUGACGUUGAGGCUCGAAGGCGUGGGGAGCAAACAGG